GGCCUUAUGGUCUAGUGGUAUGAUUCUCGCUUUGGGUAACCUUGCCAGAAUUGCGAGAGGUCCCCGGUUCAAGCCCGGGUGAGGCCC